AUUGAACGCUGGCGGCAGGCCUAACACAUGCAAGUCGAGCGAGCGGCGGACGGGUGAGUAAUGUCUGGGAAACUGCCUGAUGGAGGGGGAUAACUACUGGAAACGGUAGCUAAUACCGCAUACCAUCAGAUGUGCCCAGAUGGGAUUAGCUAGUAGGUGGGGUAACGGCUCACCUAGGCGACGAUCCCUAGCUGUGCUGCGAGGAUGACCAGCCAGCCUGGAACUGAGACACGGUCCAGACUGCUACGGGAGGCAGCAGUGGGGAAUGUUGCACAAUGGGCGCAAGCCGGAGACAGCCAUGCCGCGUGUGUGAAGAAGGCCUUCGGGUUGUAAAGCACUUUCAGCGGGGAGGCGUUACCCGCAGAAGAAGCACCGGCUAACUCCGUGCCAGCAGCCGCGGUAAUAC
rnacentral:rRNA from 1 species